ensembl:lncRNA
CUCUUCCUCUCCUCUCCUCCACUCUCCUCUCCUCUAUCCUUAACCUAUGUUAAUUAUGCAUUCAGAAUAAUGUAGCGUUAGUAAAGCAUUCUGUGUCCUACGAGUGGUGAAGUAUGCAGUAUUAACAAAGUAUUAUGCGUUGUAUUCAUGGAGUAUUCCGUGUUGUGUCUUUGUGCUAUCGUGUGUUUGUGUGUUAAUGCAGUAGCGUGUGUAGCAUUCACGCAGUAGUCGUGUAUCAACAUGUAUUACCGCAGUAGUCGUGUAUCAACAUGUAUUACUGCAGUUGUCGUGUAUCAACAUGUAUUACUGCAGUAUUCAUGAACACAGGGCCACCAUCAGGUGAUGAAUACUCCAGCUGGAACGAAGGCUCUGAUUGGUUAUUCAAUAUCUUAAAGCAGCCCACAUUAACACACACACACGCGCUAUCAAAUGCACACAUUAUCACUGACACACACACACACACACACACACACACACACACACACACACACACACACACACACAUAAACACACACACACGCACACAGAGACUAGACUGUGUAAUUGUCCCUCAGGUAUCAUAAGGUUCAUAAACAGCCCGAUAGCACUUCCACUAAGUGGAGUUUGUCUGAGUGUAACACAGGGCCGUCUGUCUGUCUUCAGGACCACAGGGCUGUCUGUCUGUCUUCAGGACCACAGGGCCGUCUGUCUGUCUGUCUGUCUUCAGGACCACAGGGCUGUCUGUCUGUCUUCAGGACCACAGGGCCGUCUGUCUGUCUGUCUGUCUUCAGGACCACAGGGCCGUCUGUCUGUCUUCAGGACCACAGGGCUGUCUGUCUGUCUUCAGGACCACAGGGCCGUCUGUCUGUCUUCAGGACCACAGGGCCGUCUGUCUGUCUGUCUGUCUUCAGGACCACAGGGCCGUCUGUCUGUCUGUCUGACCACAGGCUUCAGCCGCUAGACACAAGUCCACACCACGUACACAAGACGCACACAAGACACCCACAACACAACACAACACAACACACACACCACACGUCCACAACACAACACACACAACACGUUCACAACACAACACACACACACACACAACACGUCGACAACACAACACAUCCACAACACGUCCACAAGACAUCCA